rnacentral:tRNA from 1 species
GGGGGCGUAGCUCAGUUGGUUAGAGCAUGCGUCUUAUACACGCAGCGUCAUAGGUUCGAGUCCUAUCGCCACUACCA